rnacentral:rRNA from 1 species
GCAGGUGCAUGCCUCCAGCAUGAAGUCAGACAAGUGAACCCGCUGAA